rnacentral:rRNA from 1 species
GACGAACGCUGGCGGCGUGCCUAAUACAUGCAAGUAGAACGCUGAAGGAGGAGCUUGCUUCUCUGGAUGAGUUGCGAACGGGUGAGUAACGCGUAGGUAACCUGCCUGGUAGCGGGGGAUAACUAUUGGAAACGAUAGCUAAUACCGCAUAAUAGUAGAUGUUGUAUGACAUUUGCCUAAAAGGUGCAAUUGCAUCACUACCAGAUGGACCUGCGUUGUAUUAGCUAGUUGGUGGGGUAACGGCUCACCAAGGCGACGAUACAUAGCCGACCUGAGAGGGUGAUCGGCCACACUGGGACUGAGACACGGCCCAGACUCCUACGGGAGGCAGCAGUAGGGAAUCUUCGGCAAUGGACGGAAGGCUGACCGAGCAACGCCGCGUGAGUGAAGAAGGUUUUCGGAUCGUAAAGCUCUGUUGUAAGAGAAGAACGAGUGUGAGAGUGGAAAGUUCACACUGUGACGGUAUCUUACCAGAAAGGGACGGCUAACUACGUG